UUAACCGUCAAAUCCGUAGCGGACCCCAAUCGGGGUCUGAACAUCAAUGUCACCGUAAGCUCGGUUUAGACCCCAAUUGGGGUCUGCGAAUCAGUCAUAUGCUUUCCUAAUUAUUUACGCUCAUAUUUAUUUUCUUUCCAAUCAAACCUCAUUUGUGAGUACUAAAUAAAAUAACUAAAUAAAUUUAAAUUAUUUUUACGCAUUCAAACCUUUCAUAUUUAGCAUCCCGUUAGAAAUAUACCUUUUUAAAAUCCAAUCGUAAUUACCGGGAAUUCUGAUCGAACUCGCCAUGUUUGUUUACAUUAGUUGUUUUUUUAAAUUUGAAGAUGCAUAGACAAGAUGGCGACGGUGAUAGAAGUUUUGCAUCGAAUGAUCCGAUUCGUUAAAAUAAAGAAUCGAUUUAAUAAUUUUAUAUUAUUUGAUAUUAUAAUAUUACUAAAUUGCACUUUUGUAUACUUACCAUAAUCUGAAAAUAAAUUAGGAAAAGUAAAUUUAUUUUGAAAAAAAUGCUAGAAAAUCAGUGGUAGAAAAUACUUUGUAGCCGGAAUAAAAUAAUCUUCGGUUUUUAGGGUUUCUGAAGACGGCAAAUGAAGACUUAUUUAUUUCUUCGGGUGUUUUAUGUGCAGGAUUCCUGUAGACCUGCCAAACUUAAUGGCGAUUCGUUACUUCCAACUUUUUAACUGAGCGGCAAAGCAAUUUGACGAGAGCCGUAGUUAGGUGUAGGUAGUUAUCGCAAAAUUUUAUGACGAUUUUAUUGUUUGAAAGGGCAAAUAGUUCGCUGUUCAUCGAAAGCUGGUCCAAGAAGGAAAGAUGGCCGCCGCCGACUUAUUUUUAACCGACUUCCCAAAAAGCGGAGGUUCUCAAUUCGACCAUUUUUUCGUAUGUUUGUUACGCGAUUACUCAGCCAUUUAUUUAUCGAUUUUGAUGAUUCUUUUUUUGUUUGAUAGCGUAUACUUCCGAGGUGGUCCCAUUAUCAUCAGAUCCUGGACCUAAUAACAAAUAUGGGGAAUAUACCCUUUCGACCAAAAACAAACAUCCAAAUUGAGAACCACCUCCUUUUUGGGAUUCGGUUAAAAAUAUUUGGUGACUUUAAAAUCAAUCAAUUAUUAUUAUUGUUUCUCAUCAUCAAAUAAGUACAUUACUUUGGUAGUUACAAAUUGCAUUAUAUUUCAGAACACCAGGCUUACCCUCCGCCGAAACAAAAAUCUUAGAAUUGUUGAGAAAUAAUA